UGCCAAUUUGUUUGCAACAAAUUUUAAAGUGACAGAAAAUAAAUUACAAUCACAAAAAAAUAAGAAGAAACAUAAUUUUAUUUAUCAAGGUUGCGGGUACAAUUCUGUUGAUCCCUUGAUUCUACUCUCCUAAGAUUUACCCAUGAUUCGAGGGCCGUUAGUGGCGUAUUUCUUGAACUAGGAUGAUUUAGAUUUGACCUCUAUAUGAAUAUUCCAUCAAUUUGUGGAAUAUUCGAGAUCUUUGAUCUUUUUAAGAAUACCCAAGAGUUUAUG
rnacentral:lncRNA from 1 species